rnacentral:hammerhead_ribozyme from 1 species
AUACAACUGACGAGUCCCAAAGAGGACGAAAUGCGCGUCCUGGAU